GGCUAUAGCUCAGGGCAAGAGUUUCUGCUUUGCAGGCAGAAGGUCACAGGUUCAAUCGCUGGCGUCUCCA